rnacentral:piRNA from 1 species
GACUGUAUCGCCAUCUUCCUUGCUUCAGGUC